AGUGAGGUCUUCGGAUUGGCUUUGGGGAGCCGGCGACGGCACCCUAUCGCUGAGAAGUCGAUCAAACUUGGUCAUUUAGAGGAAGUAAAAGUCGUAACAAGGUUUCCGUAGGUGAACCUGCGGAAGGAUCAUUAUNGAAAUUAUAGGUGAGGGUUGUAGCUGGCCUCUCGGGGCAUGUGCACGCCCGAGCCCUUAAUCCACACACACCUGUGAACCUAUUGUAAGGGCCCUUAAAAAAGGCCUUUACGUCUUAUCAUCAACCCAUCGUAUGUCUCAUAGAAUGUAAAUAUAUGUCCUCGCCUUAAAAAGCGUUGAUAAACUUAUACAACUUUCAACAACGGAUCUCUUGGCUCUCGCAUCGAUGAAGAACGCAGCGAAAUGCGAUAAGUAAUGUGAAUUGCAGAUUUUCAGUGAAUCAUCGAAUCUUUGAACGCACCUUGCGCUCCUUGGUAUUCCGAGGAGCAUGCCUGUUUGAGUGUCAUUAAAUUCUCAACUCCGAUCGAUUUGUUUCGACUUCGGAGCUUGGAUUUGGAGCGUGCUGGCGUCGGUCGGCUCCUCUUAAAUGCAUCAGCGGAAUCUAACGUUUCGGACGUCAGUGUGAUAAUCAUGUUGCGCUGUCUGUCUGAUCCGAAAGCCCGCUCACAAUGGUCUUCGGACAACUUCAUAUCAAAUUUGACCUCAAAUCAGGUAGGACUACCCGCUGAACUUAAGCAUAUCAAUAAGCGGAGGAAAAGAAACUAACAAGGAUUCCCCUAGUAACUGCGAGUGAAGCGGGAAAAGCUCAAAUUUAAAAUCUGGCGGUCUUGCGGCCGUCCGAGUUGUAAUCUGGAGAAGCGUUUAUCCGCGUCGGANCGUGUACNAGUCUUCUGG
rnacentral:rRNA from 1 species